rnacentral:rRNA from 1 species
UGUAACAAGGUCUCCGUUGGUGAACCAGCGGAGGGAUCAUUGCUGGAACGCGCCCCUGGCGCACCCAGAAACCCUUUGUGAACUCAUACCUUACCGUUGCCUCGGCGCAGGCCGGCCCCCCCCGGGGGGCCCCUCGGAGACGAGGAGCAGGCCCGCCGGCGGCCAAGUUAACUCUUGUUUUUACACUGAAACUCUGAGAAACAAAACACAAAUGAAUCAAAACUUUCAACAACGGAUCUCUUGGUUCUGGCAUCGAUGAAGAACGCAGCGAAAUGCGAUAAGUAAUGUGAAUUGCAGAAUUCAGUGAAUCAUCGAAUCUUUGAACGCACAUUGCGCCCUCUGGUAUUCCGGAGGGCAUGCCUGUUCGAGCGUCAUUUCAACCCUCAAGCCUGGCUUGGUGAUGGGGCACUGCUCCCCCCCCCGGGGAGCAGGCCCUGAAAUCCAGUGGCGAGCUCGCCAGGACCCCGAGCGCAGUAGUUAAACCCUCGCUCCGGGAGGCCCUGGCGGUGCCCUGCCGUUAAACCCCCAACUUCUGAAAGUUUACCUCGAUCAGGUAGGGAUACCCAAUUCC